rnacentral:rRNA from 1 species
ACGGGAGGCAGCAGUCGGGAAUAUUGCGCAAUGGAGGAAACUCUGACGCAGUGACGCCGCGUGCAGGAAGAAGGUUUUCGGAUUGUAAACUGCUUUAGACAGGGAAGAAACAAGACAGUACCUGUAGAAUAAGCUCCGGCUAACUACGUGCCAGCAGCCGCGGUAAUACGUAGGGAGCAAGCGUUAUCCGGAUUUAUUGGGUGUAAAGGGUGCGUAGACGGGAAGUCAAGUUAGUUGUGAAAUCCCUCGGCUCAACUGAGGAACUGCAACUAAAACUAACUUUCUUGAGUGCUGGAGAGGAAAGUGGAAUUCCUAGUGUAGCGGUGAAAUGCGUAGAUAUUAGGAGGAACACCAGUGGCGAAGGCGACUUUCUGGACAGUAACUGACGUUGAGGCACGAAAGUGUGGGGAGCAAACAGGAUUAGAUACCCUGGUA